rnacentral:rRNA from 1 species
AAUCAAGUGCCUUAAGGGUGUUCGGUGGAUGCCUUGGCGCUGAGAGGCGAUGAAGGACGUGCUACGCUGCGAUAAGCCGUGGGGAGCUGCGAAGAAGCUUUGAUCCAUGGAUUUCCGAAUGGGGAAACCCACCUUCGAUAGCCGGAACUCCAAGACCUUUGUCGAAAGACAUUGGUGUGGGGUUCGAUCAGAAAUGAGAGAUGCCUAGGCCUUUAGAUUUCGAUCGAAGAGGUUUUGGAUUUCCGGUUAUCAAGAGAAGGUAUGAGACUUCUGAAUACAUAGGAGGUUUCAAGCAAACCCAGGGAACUGAAACAUCUAAGUACCUGGAGGAAAGGACAUCAACAGAGACUCCGUUAGUAGUGGCGAGCGAACGCGGACCAGGCCAGUGAUACAUCAAAGACAAUCGGAACCGGUCAGGAAAGCCGGGCCUUAGAGGGUGAUAGCCCCGUACGAGUAAUGCGAUGAUGUAUCCACGAGUAAGGCGGGACACGUGAAAUCCUGUCUGAACGCGGGGGGACCACCCUCCAAGCCUAAGUACUCCUCAGCGACCGAUAGUGAACCAGUACCGUGAGGGAAAGGUGAAAAGCACCCCGACGAGGGGAGUGAAAUAGACCUGAAACCGGACACCUACAAACAGAUGGAGCCCAAGAUACGUUCUGGGUGACAUCGUACCUUUUGUAUUAUGGGCCAGCGACUUAAUUUAACGAGCAAGCUUAAGCCGAUAGGCGAAGGCGUAGCGAAAGCGAGUCUGAAUAGGGCGUCAAGUUCGUUGUAUUAGACCCGAAACCUAGUGAUCUAGCCAUGAGCAGGUUGAAGGUGAGGUAACACUCACUGGAGGACCGAACGGGUGUCUGUUGAAAAAGACUCCGAUGACUUGUGGUUAGGGGUGAAAGGCCAAUCAAACUGGGAAAUAGCUGGUUCUCCGCGAAAGAUAUUUAGGUAUCGCCUCGGAUGAAUACCUCAGGGGGUAGAGCACUGGAUGGGCUAGGGGGACUUACCGUCUUACCAAACCCAACCAAACUCCGAAUACCUGAGAGUACUAUCCGGGAGUCACACGGCGGGUGCUAACGUCCGUCGUGGAGAGGGAAACAACCCGGACCUACAGCUAAGGCCCCUAAUUCGUGGCUAAGUGGGAAAGGAUGUGGAAAUCCCAAAACAACCAGGAGGUUGGCUUAGAAGCAGCCAUCCUUUAAAGAAAGCGUAACAGCUCACUGGUCUAAAUAAGGGUUUCUGCGCCGAAGAUGUAACGGGGCUCAAGCCACGAGCCGAAGCUUAGGGUGUGAUCCGCAAGGGUCACGCGGUAGCGGAGCGUUCUGUAAGCCUGCGAAGGGCGACUCGUGAGAGCGCCUGGAGGUAUCAGAAGUGCGAAUGCUGGCAUGAGUAACGACAAACACUGUGAAAGACAGUGUCGCCGAAAGUCCAAGGGUUCCUGCGUAAAGUUAAUCUUCGCAGGGUUAGCCGGUCCCUAAGGCGAGGCCGAAAGGCGUAGUCGAUGGGAAUGCAGUGAAUAUUCUGCAGCCAGUGGAUGGUGACGAAUCCCGUGUGUUGUCCGACCUUAAUGGAUUGGUUGGGCUUCGAAGGGGUUCCAGGAAAUAGCCUCCACAUUAGACCGUACCCGAAACCGACACAGGUGGACUGGUAGAGUAUACCAAGGCGCUUGAGAGAACUAUGUUGAAGGAACUCGGCAAUUUACCUCCGUAACUUCGGGAUAAGGAGGCCCAUUGCUCGCGCAAGCGGGCAGUGGGGGCACAGACCAGGGGGUGGCAACUGUUUAACAAAAACACAGGGCUCUGCGAAAUCGCAAGAUGACGUAUAGGGUCUGACGCCUGCCCGGUGCCGGAAGGUUAAGAGGAGAGGUGCAAGCCUUGAAUCGAAGCCCCGGUAAACGGCGGCCGUAACUAUAACGGUCCUAAGGUAGCGAAAUUCCUUGUCGGGUAAGUUCCGACCUGCACGAAUGGCGUAAUGACUUCCCCGCUGUCUCCAACAUAGACUCAGUGAAAUUGAAUUCCCCGUGAAGAUGCGGGGUUCCUGCGGUCAGACGGAAAGACCCCGUGCACCUUUACUGUAGCUUUGCGCUGGUAUUCGUGACUGUUUGUGUAGAAUAGGUGGGUUCAGAACGUCGUGAGACAGUUCGGUCCCUAUCUGCCGUGGGUGUUGGAAUGUUGAGAGGAUUUGCCCCUAGUACGAGAGGACCGGGGUGAACGUACCUCUGGUGGAGCUGUUGUCGCGCCAGCGGCAGUGCAGCAUAGCUAUGUACGGACGGGAUAACCGCUGAAAGCAUCUAAGCGGGAAACCCACCUCAAAACGAGCAUUCCCUUGAGAACCGUGGAAGACCACCACGUUGAUAGGCCGGAUGUGGAAGUGCAGUAAUGCAUGUAGCUUACCGGUACUAAUCGUUCGAUUGGCUUGAUUGCUCUCAUUUU